rnacentral:lncRNA from 1 species
UGGGGAAGGAGGCAGUAGCUCUCAAAAUGGAAAGAUCUUUUCUGCUGGAGGAGGAAAGCUGGCACCCACAGAGAAGGAGAGGUGGCUGUAGGCUGGGCAGCCUGUGCAGAGGGGGAUGUGGCACAGCAGAACAAGCAGUGCUAUUUCUUUCCUCGGCACUCAAGGUGUUUGUAGUUAGGCAACAAAUUCUUCUCUUGCUGCUAUGGGACCGGGGGCUGAAGUCUUGGUACUGGGAGGUGCUUGCUGGGGCUCUGGGUGAGGGGGUGGGAGCGAUGAAUCUGCCUCUAUUCCUAGCUGUGCUCCAGCUUGGGAUGGUCCAGCCCAGCCCCACAGGGCUGCUCAUGCUUCUUGUCUGCCUUCAGUGCUGCUGGGAUGAACCCCAAGUACACCCUCAGCACAUGGUGCCUUUUACAGGAGGCUGAGACCUGUGGCCCCACAGGACCCACAGCAAGAGUUCUCUGGAUGGGUUUGCCUUGGCUCCACCGUGAUACAUCAGAUCAGAAAGGGAAUUUCUGCCUUCUUUUCUGCACAAUCCAUUGCCCAGGUGGAGAGCAAACAGCGCCAGCCACCUCCACCCUUUGCCAUCCUCCCCUGCUCAGACAUGCUCCCAAACACAUUACCCCGCAUGUCUAGACCAGCAACUGCAUGACAAGCGUCUAUAUCCAACUCGACGGCCAAAAUCUUGUUCCCCCUGCCUUUCAGAUAGACUGUCUCUAUCAGAGAGGCGUGAUGGAGGUUCCAUCCUGGAUGCGACCAGAGGGUCACUUUUGGGUAGCCCAAAAAAAACUGUCCCACAUCUAUACUUCGUACACACCAGAUCCAAAAUUUAACCAGAUCCGUAGCAUCUUUAAAGCAGUUUGCCUUCCUUGUACAGACUUCUCACCAGCUGCAAACUAGGUUUGUCUCCACAAUAGCUAUAUUUCUAAGGAGCCUGAAAUUACCAUAAUUUGUUUCCCAGUACAGAGAAAGCCCUGGGUUUAUUUCCUGGCUUUUGUUUUCCUUCAUUAUUUAACAGCAAAGAUGCCAUUGUAUCCAGGCGACUGAACAGCAGCCAAGCAGAUUUGCAUUUUAUUAAAUAUAGUUAGGCUGUAAAGAGCACAAGAGAUUAAACUCAGCUGUCACCAUUUCUCCAAGUCAGGUGACAGGAUCCAUCCCAAAGUGCCAAUGCAGAGCUGGAUUUCUGGACUGCUGGAAUAAUGAACUCAGCGUGGAUUUAAGAAGAUCAUUAUAUUUCUAGAUAAGAUUGUCCAGAACUGUAGGCUCACAUUAACACACUUAUUAUUCAGGGGGGUUGAAACUAGGUGAUCACUGUGGUCCUUUUCAGCCCAGGCCUUUCUAUGAUUCUGAUUAAUAAAUGAUCUUUAAGCAAAUCAAAUGGAAUCUUUUUCACCACUGUUAUGUUUCUUCUACUGUCAGGAGAUGGAAAAUAAGGGCUAUAAAUCAAUGGGUGUAGAGAAGCUUAAGCAGGUAAUGAAGAAGUAUGCGAGUCCACAUAGCACAGUAAGUGAACAACAAUGGUAAAAAGCCCGAAAAACAAGAGCCCAGUUUGUUAAAGCCUGGCUCUGCUCUAUGGAUCUAAUCCUGUGGGCAGGAGAGAGACUCAACAGCCUCUGUGCUGUAGAAGCUGGUAAAUUUCUCCAGAAAUCCUGCAUAGUAACAUUCAAAUAUAUGUACAACGGAAAGGCUAUAAUUGAAGCGUAUUGUUUGUGCCCAUAGAGGGCGUUUGUGGUUGCGGAAAGAUGGAAGGAAGGCUGUUUGCUUUGAGUGAAACAAGAACACAUUGAAAGACAUUUCAUGAAAACAGACAGAGCUGAGACAGGAGGAAUUCAGGGGAUGGCUUUGGGGAUCUUUUACUUUCUUCUUCUCUAAUCUGAAGAACUUGGUCAGCCAGGAAGAGGAGUAAAAACCACAACUUUGGAAAUUCAUCAGAGGCAGUAUUAAAUGAGAUUCAAACGAGUACUAUAUAGGUCCACAUUAAUACACUUGAUUCCAACAAUCAGACUUCUGAAGGCCGGAGACAAAGGUCAGCCCCACUGGCAAGAAAAGGUAUUGUGGAAUAAUUGAUUUGUCUGAGUUACAUGGGAUAAGCAAAGAGCUCAUCCUGAGUGAAGCACAGUGACCCUUAUUUCUCCAUAUUUUUAAUAGAAUGCAGUCUAUGCUGUGCUCAGACUAAUGGAGGUCUUACAAUGCUUGCCUUUAAUCUCAGCAAAGUGUCUGAGUUCUUUAGAGGUGUCAGAGGGUAAACACUUGUUGAGCUCAUGCUUGGCAGCAGCACCUUGUCAUUGCAUGGAGCAUAGGGAGGGCAUCAACCUCUCUUGUUGUCUAGAAGACCACCAAGAAGUCCAGCCUCUUACUUGGAGCCUGCAAUGGUAAGCACUGACACAAAAACAGAACAGAAAAUAGCUCCGGAGACUGCAUCUUCCUGUGAGCACAUCUUUUAUUAAAUUUCCUUCUCUUUCUCUCCUUCUUUGUAGUGGAAUUAUUAUGACUCCAUUAGAGCAGUGAUUUCCACCUCCAGCCAUGACUCGACAGCUUUAGUAAUAGGUAACAAUUCUGCUAAUCUUUAAAAGCAGCAGGACCUUUGCUCAAGAUAACGUGCAUCCAAUCUACCCUCCCUGUUUCCAGGCCUGCAGCCAUUCCGUGCUGCUGCGGCUCCACCAGCAGCAGUGGCAGUAGCCUGAAGUCUGAAAGUGUCCUUUGAUGGUGGAAGCAGAAGCAGCAUUCACUUUGUCGUGUUCUUUUUUUUCUUUUUCUUUUUCUUUUUUUUGCUGUUUGAAGGAUUCCACACAGUACGAGCACAGCUGGGUUCUCUACAAGGGAGAAGGGGAUUUUAGAAACACAUCGAGGCUGAGUUGAGAGGGCAUUAGCACUGUUGUACCGGACUGGUUUACUGACUGCUCUGGCCAAUGCUGGCAGCUAACCCAGCUAAAAGGGUUGUGAGGAACCUGUGCUGCUGUGUGCCCUGCUCCUGUCAGCCAGACCUGCAUCCUCGGCCGUUCUCCAGCCACUUUAUUUCCUCCUGACUGCACGCUGGCACUGGAAACUUGGAGAAAUCACAGAAAUGUAGGAGUUUUUUUUUUUCUCAAACUGCCAACUGGUUCUUUUUAUCUCACUGGAAAUCAUGCAAGACAAAGAUCUCAGACUGAUGAAUAACUGUAUGAUUUGUUCGCAUGUGGGUGACGUCGGGAACAGCGUGAAUCAAACAGUUUUCUAAAUGAUUUAGAUGCGUACAUCCAGGCUGGGGCUGAGGAACCAGAGAAUUCCUCUCAUAACCAAUCUGCAAGAACAAAACUUGCACGUUCAGUUUGCUUUCUUUCCAGUUCCUGGGGCCGUGGUGCAGGCACAGCUCUUGUUAGUGAAAGCCCGAAGUGCUCAGCAGCUCCAUGGCCCCAUUUCUGCAAAGCAGAAGCAGCUGCUAAACACUGAGCUCGGUGGGAGACAUGCAAAUGUGCUCCCUUGCUUUGAUAGAUUGAAGUCACAGGAAGGCUUCUAAAAUCUCCUUUGCUCUCGGGAAGUCAAUAGCAGAGCUCCUAUUGAUUUCAAUGAGAAGAAAACCCUUCAGAGGGAAAGUAAAUGACUACGGUUCACCUCUACAGAGAUCAGCGCUCUCACAGGUUUGAAACGUGAGAUGCUGAGCAUCUCUAGCAUCGCAGUGAGCUCUGUGUGACACCACACCGUGGUGUGCUUUAUCACCAACACAGACCUUCCUCCUGCCUGUCUUCAUCUGCCCCCAGGAGCAGAGCGGAGGAGUCACAUCUCCUCCAGGUCACCUUGGGUUUCCAUAGUGACUCUUUGAAUACAACUGUCUUAUCAAUCAGAGCCUCUGUAACUUUCAGAAGCAACUAUAGAAUCUCCUCUAGUUUCUAUAGCAACCAUCUUUAGACCCAUAUAUUUGCUUUCUCUUGUCUUAGCUGAAUUGUUGGAAAUAGAGCGAAUUAACCGCUGGUGCAAUAUUUCUUAUAUUCUUUUCCCUUAAGCUAUCCUAUACUGUCAGCCAGAACAACACUUCUGAUGAGGCCAUAGUCCUUUUGUUUUACUUACUAAGGGGUCCUCUUUGCCGCCUAGGCAGAAGAAUACCACGUCUUUUAAACCACCAUUUUCACAAGGAAUGUGAAAACUUGAAACCUGGAGAGCGUUUCCCUUCCAGUUCCAGCCCCCAUGUCGUUCUGUUCCCGUGCACUCAGAAGAACAAGUCGUGCUGCUUUGUUAUCCUAAAUCGCUUCUCGUGAGGAUAUGCCAGAGCAGGAAGCUCAGUGCAAAGUACAGCCAUCGCUUAACUGCAAUGCUGCGACUUAGUCAAAUAUUAUUAUCUAUAGGGGAUGAGGAGCGUGCACAAGGUUAAUGGCCCAUCUACGCUGCGGACCCAAUAGAUGUCAAAAAGGUUAUUUUUUUUUCCAGCCUAAAUGUGGUAACUGCAGACAGAGCUGCUAUCGCACUGUCUAUGGUUUCAUCCAGCAGACAGCAGGCAGACAUAAAGCUAUCUGAAAUAGCUGACGCUGUCACAAAGACAUCUACCACCUUCCUUCACUAUCCGACUGCUAAACGCAUUGCUUUUCAGUCUCAGAAACUUUAUUUUCCCUGGGAAGAUCCUAAGUGGAGAACGUGCUUAACUCAAGGCUCUACAGUUAGUAAUGGAUAAUCACUCUGCUCGCAAUCUCUGGUGCAGGAUUUCUGGAAUGCUCUCCAUGCAGCACAUCGCAGGCACACCUGUAACUUGUACACCUUCCAGCCUACCUAAAAACAUAGAGAGGCUCUCCAAAGGAGGAAAGGACCUGAACUGCUGCGGUGCUGGUUUCACAAGCUGCCUGGACAACUGCCUGCUGCGGUUGUCCCUAUCUGAACAGGGCUUGGGCCGUGGCAUGCUGUGCAGUUUCCCACCACGCGUGCAGGCUGGCCUCUCACAGCACGUACUCUCACCUGUGCCGUGGGUGGGAGCAGCUCACAAGCAUCUGUAAGCAGGAACGGGGCUGUGCUAGGGUGGCACUUCUAGCAUCCCGCUGGAACAUCAUUUAUUCUCUCCUGUUGGUUUUUGAUGCCCUCUUCUCUGCCAGAUAUUUAGCUGCACGUCCCAGCCAUCUUCCAGGCAGCUGCUGCCAAGAACACAGUCUUCUUGUUUGUACUGCUUCCUUUCCCAUUGAAUUGUGCCUGUCCAGGGCCCGCCCUGGGCUUUCCCUGGGGUGAAUGGCUCCAGUAGCAAUGGAACUGGAGGUGGGGCUCCAGCACAGUCCUGCAGGGCAGGGGCAGGUCCUGCAGAUGAAGUGCUGGUUGUUCACUCCCAUGACUCCCACGAGCGUCUGGGCUGACCUAAGCAGCCAUGCACCCCCCCGGAUGCUAAACAUCCAGAUCCACAUUCAUCCAAUAGAACUUUAAGUACAAAAGCCCACUCAAACUCAUCCUCUGGCCCUCACUGUAACACUGCUGAGAUAUCUGAGAUCUCAGUGAUGGUGACUUUUCCAUGCUAUUCCACAGGAAGAAAAAAAAGCAGAAAGAUGGGGACAGAAAGUUUGAGCUUCUUUCCAGGCUCCACAUUUUUUUGUGUCUUAUUUUUCUUUUUAAAGGUGGGAUUUUGAAAUAGGAGAGCAACGACUGAAGCUCACCAAUGCCCCUGGAGAGGUAACAAUCAGCUGUUUGACUUCUGAUAGCAGUGGAAGCAGGUGCAAUUCUUACUGCAUCUGUUACACCUCUGCAGGCGCUACUGCUGAAGCAUGCAGCAAAAAGCUCAGUCUUUCAGGCUGGUGACAGGAGGCUGAGAUGGACACAGAGUCACAACAACAGGGAUGCUUUAGAGGCAGGUAAGCAGUUUGCCAACUUCUGGAAGGAAGAGUGGAAAGCAUCUAAAUUAUACGAUAUUGGGUCUUCCCCAGCACUGCAUGAGCCUUGUCCCAGAGCCAGAUGCACCCGGUGGGAGUUCACACUGCAGGGAGACAUGCUUUUCUGUAGGAUGGUCCUCCCCUGAGACACCCCUGAAGGAUUAGUCAGACUCGCAUGCCUCAGGAGUAAAUGGGUACUGCAAAUACUGGAAGAAGAACAAAAAUAAAGCUGAGCAGAGCUGCAGCACAGGCCCAGGGAGCUGCCUGCAUGGCUGAGUGGGCCCAGGCUGUCCAUGAGGAGCCCUGCCUGGUGGGAAGGGAGCAGCUGGGAAGGGUCUGCCUGCAGCGUUCCUCAUGUUCAUCCCCUGCUCACCUGCAGAGCCCAGGGCUGUAGGGAGGUCCCUGCCCCUCGCUGCAACACCAGGGACAACCUGCCCUGCCUCUCACAAGGACAAGAGAAAAGGACAAGAGAAAAUGCCUGCAGCUGUCUUGCUCAUGGUGGGGUCCUGCAACAAUCCCAAGUAGCUACAUCACAGACAACACACCCAUGCUGUUUGUACAGCAGCAUCUCACAGAGCUCAGAGCCUGCUGCACUGAGUACAGACACAAGUGAUGCAUUGGAACAGGCUGCCCAGGGAGGUGGUGGGGUCAGCAUUCCUGGAGGUGCUCAGGGAAAGGGCAGAGGUGGUACUGAAUGAUGUGGUCUGGAAUGGGCACAGGCAUAGGUUAACAGCAAGACUGAAGGGUCGCAUAGAACUGUUGAGGCCGGACUAAUCAAUCAAUAAGUACAUGAACAAAAAAUGCUGUAGGUGCCAACAGGAAGAAUUAGUUCAGAACAGAAAAUAAUUUCCACAUCAUCCAUCUGAGGAGAAGGGGCCACAUCUGAAUGUUUGAACUGUGUGUAAACACUACAGCUAUGGCUGGAGAAGUAUGUUGAUAAAUCGCAUCUAUCCUGAGCAGGCCUGAGUGGUCUUUAGGCAGAGCAGGGCUGUUCAGUGGGACAGGAGAAUCAAUAUGGACUUUGUAAGUAGAAAGACUGCACAUAAGCAAGAUGAUUUACUUGCACAAAAUGCUAUUGUUUUAAAUGAAGCUCUGAACUCAGUAUUUUGAUAUCCAUAAAGAAUAAAACAGAAGUAAUUUUACCACCACAGGAAUGCACUGUUUUGGACUCAAAACCAACAAUGGUUCCCAGGCUUCCCUUCUGAGCCCCAGGAGGUACCAGCAGGCAUCUUCCCCACGAGAGGGGUUGUCAUCAUAAAGCAUUCAUUUGCUGAAAACAAAUAUAUUGGCUUCAACAAACUGGAAAAUGUUGGGAAUGGGACUGAAUCUGAGAGAAAAAGCUUAUAAUGAGCUUCUGGCCAUUCUGGGAUGCUUCUCCAGCCUGCUUUCUUUCUAAAAGAAAAUGAAAAUACAGAUCAUUUUAUCUAAACUUGGAAAUAAAAACUGGAAGCCUAUUUACUGUUUGUGAAGUGAUAUCCCUGAGCAAGGAACAGUGAGGACAAACCUGCAGCCGUGCCCAAACCAGCCCAGCCUUGUCUGCCUCUUUGGUCCAGGACAGGCAGAUGAGCUCCAUCACAUUUCAAAAGCACAGCGCUCUCAGCAGAGUGAUCCGCUCAAGCCUGCAUUUCAGAUGCAUUAUUUAAUGACAGCAGCAAGUUACAGCACAGCAGAUAAAUACUUGAUAAAUGAGAGUUUUGUGUUGGGGUGUGAGUUAGGAAAAUACCCCAAGCUUUCCACAGCCUUUGUGAAAGGAACAUGAGAAAAGUACUAAGGAGUAUUUCGGCAUUAAGAUUUGUUUUUUUCAGCAGGUUCUUGCUGCCUCUGGAGCCUGUGCAGCAGGGCCUGACCCACGAGCUUGCCUGCUGGUGCUGGCACACAGUGGUACCCAAGGAGAAAAGAAAAGCAUUCUCUCUGCUGCAGACAUGCAUCCCCCUUUUCGGGUUUCUCAGACAUCUGUCUGAUGCGUAUGAUGCAAUUUCCAUCCAUUUAAACAGCCCAUAGAUACGCUAUGAGUGGCUUCCCACACAAACUGUUUGAGGCACUCUGUUCAUGCAUGCCUGAGCAAACAUGUUAAGAGAAAAUAAGGAUUUUAGGAGGAAAAUAAGGAUUUAAGCAAACAGUUCUGCUCCUGAUUUGUGGCUGUGUAUAAAAAAAAACCAGUCAAAUCAAAAUCCCCUCCUCUCCUCCAUGUUAAUCUCUUUUCUUCUCUUGUAGAUUCUCAUCAAAUUGUCCUUGGUUGUGCAGUGGCUUCUUGUCAGCACAGCCAAGUUAGUCCCUAUGUAGCAUUUCAAGUAAAACAAUUUAAUGGCCCAUUGGCUAAAUGCUGACAAACCUACCUGGGAUGCAGUAGGAGGUAAGGACCGAGUGAAAUCUCAGUGUUAUCUCAUGUAACAGCAACCCUCGCAUUUUAGAGCAAGCUGUUUACUGACGUGGUAAAUAGCUCAAACUGUGUGAAACCUAUUUUAAUGCUUUGUGGCAUUAAGAUGUUCCUGAUACAGGGAUGUUACUUAGGUUUCAGUCGCUGGAUUUUGUGUCUGAGCCCACAGAAAGCAUUGCCUCUUUGCAGUGCCACUAAGGGAAAUAAUUUUUAGUGACACGCUUUUGUACAUCAAAUUCAGUAACACAGACCUAUCCUCUCUAUUGCUGCAGAUAAGAGUCAUUGGCAAGCACAUAAGAAAGUCAUAUCAUUAGCAGUCUUACAUGGUGCAAUUUGAAUGGUGCAAAUACCCACAAAGCACACAGGCCCACACACAGCUGCUUUUCGAUGGAAACAUGAUUAGGUGAUUGAAUUAUCAGCUCUACUCACUGCUAUGGCCCAGAGGUCACUGGAAGUGGUUACUUCUCAAAUCUCAUCAGCUGACAUUGCUGAUGCCAUUUUUACUCUAGUCAUCCAGCUACAUCUGGUCAUACCUGGAGGUUCAGCUCCUGGCAGCAAGCAGAGGGUUUCAGCAUCAGCCACAGAGGUAACACACGUUUCCAGCCCCUCCACAGAGUAGGUUUACUUUCCAAACAUCCCUUUGGAGAAUCCCUCUCCACCCAUUUCUCUGCAGGUCAAUCCCAAGAUGAGAGCCUGUAUUCUGAGCUCUAUCUUUAAAGCCACCCACCACAGCUGGCAGUCUGGUACAGUAGGUGUGAGAGAGACACAGC